AAUCCAGUGUUGCCAACUCCUCAGUAAGGAAAGUAGCUAUUGGCUGUCCUAAAAGUCAAUAGAAGUCGCUAAAUGGCGUCAUCGCCUAAUUUGCAUAAUUGGACAUGUGCAUGUAAUUGUGAUGGAUGCUGUAAGAGAGAGGAAUGACGUCGUGGGAGACAAAAUCGCGUCAAAUUAGCACCCGGCAGAUUCCUGCUACAAAGAACCAGGCAACCGAAAAAGCCUGGAGACAGGCUGAUUGGUGCUGCGAGCCCUACACAGUAUGGUGUCUCGAGCAUGGCUGUAUGUGGGCUCUGGGUCUACCGAACGAACGCCUCUGCCAGUCUGUCUGGAUGUAAACUGUAUUUAAUGGUGUAUGAACAUCAAAGCGAUGGGGGUGGCAUUCAAAAUAAACACAUUUCAUUUAAUGCAGUUCGAUGGAAUUUUAUGAUGAAAGUGAUGAACAUCUCUCACUUCUGGUGGAAUUGGUGUAUAUUUUUGGACAGAAUGAUGAGUAACAAUAAAC
rnacentral:lncRNA from 1 species